rnacentral:tRNA from 1 species
AAGUUUAGGUUAAACAAACCAGGAGCCUUCAAAGCCCCAAACAAGAAUAAAUCUUAGCUUCU